rnacentral:rRNA from 1 species
UAGGGAAUCUUCGGCAAUGGACGGAAGUCUGACCGAGCAACGCCGCGUGAGUGAAGAAGGUUUUCGGAUCGUAAAGCUCUGUUGUAAGAGAAGAACGAGUGUGAGAGUGGAAAGCUCACACUGUGACGGUAUCUUACCAGAAAGGGACGGCUAACUACGUGCCAGCAGCCGCGGUAAUACGUAGGUCCCGAGCGUUGUCCGGAUUUAUUGGGCGUAAAGCGAGCGCAGGCGGUUAGAUAAGUCUGAAGUUAAAGGCUGUGGCUUAACCAUAGUACGCUUUGGAAACUGUUUAACUUGAGUGCAAGAGGGGAGAGUGGAAUUCCAUGUGUAGCGGUGAAAUGCGUAGAUAUAUGGAGGAACACCGGUGGCGAAAGCGGCUCUCUGGCUUGUAACUGACGCUGAGGCUCGAAAGCGUGGGGAGCAAACAGGAUUAGAUACCCUGGUAGUCCACGCCGUAACGAUGAGUGCUAGGUGUUAGACCCUUUCCGGGGUUUAGUGCCGCAGCUAACGCAUUAAGCACUCCGCCUGGGGAGUACGACCGCAAGGNUG